ACUCACCGUAGUGUAUAACUUUCUCCGACUUUUUAGGACGUGUUUUAUGACACUUCUUUUUCUGUCUCAUUUUGUCCACCAAACUUUUAACCUUGUGCGUGAAUACACAAAGGCAACAGACGAGGCAGAGAGACGAGCAGCAGCUGCUGAGAGACGAGAGUGAGAGGUCACAGAGAGAACAUCUGCUCAGCUGAAUGAGAGCGAGCAGGAAGUGCGAGCGCUGUUGAAGGCGAGGAAGGCGAGCGAGGAGAAGGAGAGGAAGCUCCAGGAGGAGGCUCAGCAGGAGCUGCGGCGCUGCCAACAGAAGGUGGCGCUACAGCUGAGUGGAGCUCAGGCGGCACUGCAGCAGGCGGACGCCAGGAGUGCGGAACUACUUGACGAGGUGGCGCUGCUCCAGGAGACAGUGAGACGAGAGUGCCAGGAGAAGGAAGAGCUGACAGCGGCCUCGUCUGCAGCUCGCCGGGAGCUUCUUAGGCCACGCCCCUCCCAUGGGCCACGCCCCUCUCACCUUCUCCACCCUCCUCCUGGGGAGAAGCAUCUCUGCGGACGCACGCCGGGCCUUUUCCCGGCACUCAGACACACCUUGCCCACGCUGAAGGUGAGCAGAGUCCACGACACUUGGUCCGAGAGCAGCAGGUGAUGCAAGGUGCACACACACACACACACACACACACAAGCUUUUCAGCCCUUUGAGACACUUGUGAUUAAGGGUUAUAUAAAUAAACUUUGAUUGAUUGAUUGAUUGAUUGAUUUUCCAUGCCUAAAUUAAUGCACCUGAUUUUUUUUGUGUGUUUGAAUUUUGUGAACUGAUUUUUUCUUUCUUUUUUUACGUUUAAUUAUGCUCACAAUUUCAUAGAACGAAAAUGUGUGUGUAGAAAUUCACAUUCUUCAAUACAGUGUUGUAGAAAUAUUUGGGUCAAAAUUCAGUGUAAAAAUAGUCAGUGGGAAAAAAAAUUUGUGUGAAAAAAUUCAGUCAAAAAAAAUCAUUGCAGAAAUAUUCAGUGCAAAAACAUUUCAGUGUAAAAAAAAACAUUGUGUGAAAAAAUUCAGAGUACAAAAAAAAUCAUUGCAGAAAUAUUCAGUGCAAAAACAUUUCCAUGUAAAAAAAAAUUGUGUGAAAAAAUUCAGAGUAAAAAAAAAUAAUUGCAGAAAUAUUCAGUGCAAAAACAUUUCGGUGUAAAAAAAAACAUUGGGUGAUAAAAUUCAGAGUAAAAAAAAAUAAUUGCAGAAAUAUUCAGUGCAAAAACAUUUCCAUGUAAAAAAAAAAAUUGUGUGAAAAAAUUCAGUGUAAAAAAAAAUAAUUGCAGAAAUAUUCAGUGCAAAAACAUUUUCAUGUAAAAAAAAAUCAAUGUAAAAAAAAAAAGAGUAUAAACAUUCCGUGUAAAAGAAUUCAGUGCAAAAAAAAAAUCAGUGGAAAAAAACAGUGCAGAACUAUUCAGUACAAAAAAGAAAUUGCAGAACUUUUCAGUGCAAAAAUAUUUUCGUGUAAAAAAAUCAAUGUAAAAAAAAAAAAUUCAAAGUAUAAAAAUUCAGUGCAAACAAAUUCUGUGGGGAAAAAAACAGUGCAGAACUAUUCAGUGCAAAAAAGAAAUGGCAGAAAUAUUCAGCGCAAAAACAUUUUCGUGUAAAAAAAUCUAUGUAAAAAAAAAAAUUCCAAGUAUAAAAAUUCAGUGCAAACAAAUUAUGUGGGAAAAAAACAGUGCAGAACUAUUCAGUACAAACAAAAUUCAGUGUAAAAAAAUUCAGUGCAAAAA